UAACACGUGGGCAAUCUGCCCUUCACUCUGGGACAAGCCCUGGAAACGGGGUCUAAUACCGGAUACUGACCCUCGCAGGCAUCUGCGAGGUUCGAAAGCUCCGGCGGUGAAGGAUGAGCCCGCGGCCUAUCAGCUUGUUGGUGAGGUAAUGGCUCACCAAGGCGACGACGGGUAGCCGGCCUGAGAGGGCGACCGGCCACACUGGGACUGAGACACGGCCCAGACUCCUACGGGAGGCAGCAGUGGGGAAUAUUGCACAAUGGGCGAAAGCCUGAUGCAGCGACGCCGCGUGAGGGAUGACGGCCUUCGGGUUGUAAACCUCUUUCAGCAGGGAAGAAGCGAAAGUGACGGUACCUGCAGAAGAAGCGCCGGCUAACUACGUGCCAGCAGCCGCGGUAAUACGUAGGGCGCAAGCGUUGUCCGGAAUUAUUGGGCGUAAAGAGCUCGUAGGCGGCUUGUCACGUCGGUUGUGAAAGCCCGGGGCUUAACCCCGGGUCUGCAGUCGAUACGGGCAGGCUAGAGUUCGGUAGGGGAGAUCGGAAUUCCUGGUGUAGCGGUGAAAUGCGCAGAUAUCAGGAGGAACACCGGUGGCGAAGGCGGAUCUCUGGGCCGAUACUGACGCUGAGGAGCGAAAGCGUGGGGAGCGAACAGGAUUAGAUACCCUGGUAGUCCACGCCGUAAACGGUGGGCACUAGGUGUGGGCAACAUUCCAC
rnacentral:rRNA from 1 species